rnacentral:rRNA from 1 species
UACGUAGGGGGCAAGCGUUAUCCGGAAUCAUUGGGCGUAAAGGGUGCGUAGGCGGCCCUAUGGGUCAGAGGUUAAAGGCUACGGCUCAACCGUAGUAAGCCUUUGAAACUGUAGGGCUUGAGUGCAGGAGAGGAGAGUGGAAUUCCUAGUGUAGCGGUGAAAUGCGUAGAUAUUAGGAGGAACACCAGUGGCGAAGGCGACUCUCUGGACUGCAACUGACGCUGAGGCACGAAAGCGUGGGUAGCGAACAGGAUUAGAUACCCUGGUAGU